AUCCUGUGGACAAGGGUUUCACCCGUCACUGCUGGGAAUAGCUGCGUGGGUUAGGAAGAACUGCAGGAAGGGCUGCAGUUUGACACCACCACGUCCUGCCAGGGGGGCAGAAAGCACAGCCCAGCAGCCAAUGGUCACUGAUAGCAAGUUGUGCUGGUGGGCAGUUUGGUAUUUCGGAGCCAUCUGAAGGGGUUGUGAUCUGUCAUAAUUCAGUUCCACCACUCAGCCCUGUGUAAGACAGAAAUCAAGUCCUCUCUAUGAAACUUUUCUGCUAGAGAGGAUUCACAAAAGCAUCCUCGCUGCAGCAAUGCUGAUAGUGGCUGGGCACACCACCAUCCUUCCCUUCAGGCUCUCCAUUCCUUCAUCUUUCUCGCUGUUCUUUGCCCUCCAUCCAACACAAACAUCUCCCCUAUGCCAGAGGUGGGGCUUUGGGGAUUUGUUACCAGCAAAUCCCUGCCUUACGUAAGCAGCUGCUGUUUUCUAACUGUUUCCUCACUUUACAGCAAGGAUCAGCUGGGAUUUCUCACUUUUGUGGGGCUCUGGGAGAAGGGAUGUCCCUAAAAUGUCCUGCACCAUCAGCCCUGAGCACAGCCAGAGCCCAGGGAGCAAGUGUUGGCAGCAUCCUCUUGUCACCCUUGGGCUGGUACUUGUCGAUAGGCACGGAUCAGUCUUGCAAAGAAAGGUUUAGAAGGGAUCAACUGAAAGCAAAAUGUCACCAUGGAGUCCCAGCUCUGCUUAUUUACACACUUGGCUUUUCUAAGAGGAAAACAGCCAGGCGUGUGCGUCCUGCUCCGAGAUGCUGACAGGAGACAUCCGCUCCAAGAGCUCCCCUCAGCUGGGACCUGAACUCGUGCCACGUGCCUGAUUUACGUGGGACUCAGCAAUCCUAGAGCAAAAAGGAUUCCACAGCCAGAGAAAAAUAUGUCCUGUCUCAGUUUACUAUGCCUUAAAUGCUGCAUUUGUCUUCCCUUGUGCUGUUUGGCCACGCAAGGAAAAGUGUUCUGCUGGAAGUGGAGCUGAUUGUGCAGGGUGAGCAGCAUUGCCUACACCUUUCCUGGGGUUCUCCAUGCUCCAAGCUGCCCAGGAGCUUCCCAUCUUUGUCCCCUGAAGCUAAUGAAGCUGCCUUCACUCACAUUAAUCCAAGACCCAAAGAAGUAGAGUUAUGACCAUGCAUCCUCUCGGCUCAACCAGUUCCCCUCACUGAAUGGUGAUGGCACAUCACAACGGCUCCAGACAGGAGCCCUGCCAGGAUGGCUGUUUGCUCAAGGUUGCUUUUGGGAGCGGCCGGAGGUGCCCACAUAAAAGCUGCCAGGGAGCAGGUUCAAACUCCAGGGAAAACCAGUAACCGCACCAGCAAUCCCUGCCCAGCUCACCGGAGAGAAACACUCAUCCCCUCCGUGUCCCCUAUCCCACUGUCGGCUCCAUGACACCAAACCGCGGGCGUUCUCCCUGAGCAGCAGCCAAAAGAAAGCAUUGUAAGGAGAAAACGUCAGGACUGAAUUACAGAGAUUAGACAGUGGACAACAGGACAGGUCCAAGACAUUACAAGCAGAGAAAAGCUGGAAAAUGACACUCAGUUAUGAAGAGACUCUUCAAUGUCAUCUCCUCUGACAGGGGGAGUGACAACCAGACAGGAUGAGAAGUAGCAGAGGAGGAAAGUUGAGAAGCUGGUGGUAUUUCUGAAACCGGUGAGCCAUAUUUCCCCCAAUUUGAUUUGGUCUCUCCUGGGAUCUAUAAAGAAAUGAAGAGGAAUUAUGAGCCAAGGAGCUGUGCAGGCUGGAAAAAAAAAACGUAUCCAAACUCAUCAAGCAAAUGGAAAGUCAGGACAGGCCCAAGAAAUGAGAUCCAAGUGGGAAGCCCCGGAGCCAGCCAGCAAGUUAAACGUCAUGGGCACUUGUUUGUGCUUCUCCUCCCAGCCCCACCUCAGGCAGACGGGCUGGGUUUGGUACCCAGCUGCACCAUGAAGGAACGUUGUAGUAUCAGGUUGUAUGAUACCCCAUACCCAUGUGUCAUGAACUUAGGGGGAUGACUCAGCCUCACUGAUUCAUGCAGGCUAGAAUAAGCUUCAUCCCAGGGACACAGAAGAAUUUGAUACCCCUACUCUCAUCCUCCACCAUGUGAUCUGUGAGAUCAUAGGAUGGCCUGUGUUGGAAGGGACAUUAAAACUCAUUCCAUUCCCACCCCAUGCUGUGGGCAGGGUUACCACCCAUUGGAAUAGACAGUGCAGGGUCCAUCCAGCCUGACCUUCAGGAACCUCCAGGGAUGGGGCACACAUGCUGCUCUGGGCAUCCAUCCGGGAUGCAGUGCUCCAGAUGGGCCUUUGCAAGGACAUGUAAGUACACUUGUUAAGUUUGUCCAGGUUGUUUUGGAGGGCAGAACUUCAUUACAAAUGAAUAUCAGAGGUGCAGGUGCUCCAGCACGAGAGCUGUUCAGUUGUGGCCUCUUUUGAGGAGCAGCCUUUCAGAGGAAGAUUACACAAAGCAAAUCAUCCCAAAAGUGGUGAUCCCAAAUUGUCUCAGCUUCUCCACCUGUCUGGAUCUACAUAGAUCCAUUACACUGAUCCACAUUCAACUUGAUUGCUGCUGCUCAUGGAUGAGCACUCAGACCCCCAUGGACCGGAGCUGGUGGGAACAUGAAGAUGAUUUCCUUGCAUUACUCACUUCCCAAGAACACUUCCCAUAGAAGAGUUGCUCAUAAUUUCCUUUUUUGUUUGUCGGUUUUUCGCUGUCAAUGCCAUUCAGUCUCACACUGUGCAGCCUGGAGAGAGAAUUUCCUUAGAAGUCCUGCUGGGGUAGGAGGAAGCAGGAAAAAGCAGCCUGGAAAAUGAUUAGAUCUCACACCAUUUAACUUUAUUUUUAAACUUAACUGUAAAGGACAAGUCCUGUUUCCAGUAAGGCUGGUGCUUGUGCAUGCUGAUGCAUACUGUGUUCUGGAGCCAGCAGCAUCACCCUGCUUUGUUCCCAUAUAACUGUGGCCAGAAUGGGGCUGCAGGGCUCAGCCUAUGGCCUCCAUCUGCCAUAACGCAAUCAAACUUACCGAGGGUGGUCACCUUCCUACCAUUGCCAAGUGAAAAUCCAGCUCAGAAAAGCACCACCGCCAUCCAAUCCCUAUAUCUUGACUGUCCACUCUUCCUUGUUCUACCUUCCUUGUUGGGUCGAUCCCAAAUCACAAGGUCUGAUUUGCACACACAGUGUAUGGCAGAGCUCUGCCCGCAGGGAGUUUGGUGGUGGCUGCAGCUGCCGGGAUAGAUGCAAUAUCCUCUAAGGCAAAUCACAGCUGGAACAAACAGGCGGGUUUGGAACACAGCCUUUCUUCAGCUCUACAUAAAAGCUUUUGUUUGGAGGGAGCUAUCUAUAUAUGGGAAUUUGGAAAUUCCCCAUUUGGAAAGGAAGCAAAGCAGCCCUGUAAGUGAUGGGAGAAGGAUGGGGCAGGAGCUUCCCUGGAGCCGCAGGUGGGCAGCAGUCAGGCUGGGCAUUGGGAGCUCAGGCUGUGUCACAGUGGAGGUCUCAGCAGCUCCAGGCUGUGUUUGUGCAGGGUGUGAAUGGGGAAAUCUGCCGACCCCAGCAGUGCCCUGCAGCAGGAUCAGUCCCCGUGCUGGCAGGUCUCAGUUAACACUGUGUCGUGCCAUCUGCAGGUUCAAGUCAGCUCUUAUUUCUGUUAUGACUUCGGAGACAAACUACAAAAAUAGUUCACUCCUGGCACUCCCCAGCUGUAUUUAUCCUCAGAAGUUGCCCAAUGACCCCCAGCAACUCUACAGCAAGACAUGAUUUGGCUGAUGCUUCAUCCCAAAGCAUCCUGAAGUCACCCAGCACAGAACUGCAGUCACUCUUGGGAUGAAGUGUGGCACAUUUUCAACCACAUGCAGCAGCAUUACACCAAAACUUUGGAGAUGGGAGGAAGUUACAGAAGGGUUUUAUGCUAUGAGAACACAGCUGCUCACAUUGGAGCCAUUGGAAAAGCCUUCUCCCAUCACAAGCACUGCAGAAGUGGCUGUGGACCCUCUUCAGAGCCAGGCAGCACCCAGAAGGAUGGAAACACUGUGUGGGCCUUUCUGCUGUUUCCCUCCAGCACCGAGUCACACCAGGACACAGUGUCCUAGUUUUCUGUUUCAGCCGCUUAUGUGGAAUGAAGGAAUUUGUGGAACGAGCAUGCAGGUAGACACAGGCACAUCACAUGGCUAAUGCAGAGAGGGACAAUGUUCUCUGAGCAAUUUUCUGCUCAUGCCAAGGAUCUGAACCCCUCUGACUCCUGCAUGCCAUGCAAUGUGCUCCUCGGGCUGUGUGAGGUCCGGACAAGGCAUGCUUGGAUGGUAUGGAAGGAGUCAGCUUGUCACAAACUGCCAGCCCUCAGCUGGAUCCCAGACACCAAAGUGACUGCACUGAACCUGUGGGUCAUCACAGUGAACUAAAAACUCUCAGAGCUGCAGCUGGGCUAGUUAUGUUUACGAGCUCACAAAAUGACACAGAGUUCAACCAGCUCCUUGCUUUUGCCUCGCCUCUGAGAUCUGCAGUGCUUUAUAUGCGUAGGAACAAGUGAGCUCAUUUGCAGAGUUCCAGGAGCGGGUCAAAGAGCAACCUGAUACAGAGGUGGAAAAUAAGCAGGAGGGCUGGCUGCCAGCAGCGUAGUGCAGAGCUGAAGCUUUUGGGCCUGACCUGAGUGUGCCAGCCCUCUCCCUCUCACCAUCUGAAUUUAGGGCAUCUCAGACCAAUCUGUUUCACCUUUUCCUUUUUAGGAGAAGUUCUACUUAUCAUCUGUCCGACAGCUCACAGCUGGGAGCAGCUGCCUCACAGACCCAUGGCAUUGAAGGGGUAAAAUAAGAAAAACAGCAAAAGAAACCCACAAAAACCAGAAGCAGAAGUGGCUCAUUGCUCGUUAAGUGGCUUCUGGAUUUCUCUUGAUGGAAAUGGAUAGGCAGCACCUCUGGCACUGUCUCUCCCAGUUACAGAAGAGGCUUCGCUGCUGCAUGCAGCUGGCUGAGCAAAUGGCUGCUGAGUUAUUGUGGCAAUUCUUCAUCCUUUAUUUAGUGCAUCCUCAUCCUCUCUCCAUGCUAAAGCUGCCAGGGCUGUCCACAUGUGCCAAGGAGGAGCUGGCAGCAGAGAGCUCACUACUUCACUGCUCCAGUCCUGUGUUUUAAAGCCACAACAUCAGUAUAAUGAGAGGAAGGUGUGGAUGUGCAACAACUGACCUCUGGAGUCUGAGACUGUACAGGAGCCACGUUCUCCAUCCCUGGCUUCCAACCAUGAGGUUGUAUGAGAGCACGGCGAGAUCGAUGGAACAGCACACAGCGCUCGUGCCUGGUUGCACAGACUCCACUUUUCAUGUGGAGCCAUCUGGGGGUCCCCAGCAGAGAUCCUCCAACACUUCAGAUUCCUGCCUCAUUUCCUCAUACAUUUUUUAUUGCAAUUUCCCCAGCUGGACCCAGACUGGGGUCUCAUUUUGCAUUCCUGGAGCCAGAGAAGCUCUGAAACUUGGAGCCACCUUUAAGCAAUACAGAUGAGGUAUGGAUGCAGCUGUCUGUUUUGAAUCCAAAGGCUAUUCUUUGGAGUGGAUCUCUUUCCUUAUUGCUCGACUCUUAUCUCCUGUCUCUAUCCUGUUAGGAAAGCUCAGACAAUGUGGAAAAAGCCAACUUUAAGAGGACCUCCUUAGAACUCUGUUUCCUGAGGAAUUCCCAACUACACAAUAAGCUAUGACUUACAGAGCAGCCAGGUCUUGGCCUCUCUCAACAAUUAUAGCCUCUUGGCCUGUCAGCCUAGGGGAAAGGAGAUGACCUGGAGCAAUUUGAACACACGUACAAGAGAGAUAUGCAGCCUGGAGAGCAGCCUGCAUGCUGUGAGAUGCACAUUUGGCCAUCAUCCUGGACCGGGGCUCCUGGUUUGACAGAUAGAGGGAAGCUGUCCAAGACAUUGAUGAACGGGCCUCCAAGCACCCAUCAAGUUGCAUCCAGUCACAACAGGAAGGGGAAGCGGUUCGUGGUUGUGAGUUCCUACCAGGAGGGACAGCCUGGCCCCUGCCUCACGCACAGCUGCAGGAACACUGGCCAAGCUGCACUCCCUGAUCCCAGCCUGGAAUUCAGAGGAUAUCAAGGCCAAUUUCUCAUCAGACCCCAUGCCAGGUGGCAGUCAGACCCUCUCUAUCCCAAGCUCUGCCAGUAGUCUUCUGGUGGGGGCAGUAAACAAAGGUACUAUUCAGAUUAUGCCAGUAGACUUUGAGACACAAGAAGUUUGGUUUGAGUGUGUUACCCAAAAGACGGUGUGCUUUGAUUCAAUGGGUUCAGCACAUAGAGGGGCACAACCAGACCCAUCUAGCACAGGGACUAGCAGAGUCCUGCACUGUGGAGGGCAUUUCUCCUUUUCAGCUGAACUUCCAGGGCUUGGAACAAGGCUGCCUGUACAAGAAGCAUUACAGAGGGCUCAUUACCGCUCAUCUGCAGCUUUUCAGCCCUUCUCAGUAGGGGGACAAAGCCAUCUGAGCAGGAGCAAGGCUCCAAGGACAAAACAAUUAUCCUUUUUGUGUAAGCCUAGCAAAGCAGCUGGGGAGCGAGUGGGAGGGGAGGGAACAGCUCCUGCCCCGUCUGCAGGGCUCCUCCAGCAACACUGGGAGCUUCUUCACCCAACACAUGGCUGGAUCUGAUGCCAUACAGCAGCAGUGUGUAUAGAAGUCGUGUUAUUCAACUUGAGCUUGUCAACGGUGAGACUGAAAGGAGAGAACAAGUUUGGAGCGAUGAGAAAGGAAGGGGGAAAAGGAGUUCCAUCCAUCAGCAGGUUGUUAUUUACAAUGGAAAGAAAAGGUAGGACAUGGGGGCUAGGUUGGAAAUCCUGUUUCAUAAACAAGACUAUCCAGGAUAAAGCCUGUCCAGGAAACAUGCCUGAGGGACACAGGGGGGCUCAGCUGGAAGCUCUACUGCUGACAUCCAUCCUCCCAUCAUGAGCCCUGCCAGCCUUGUACUCCUCCCACGUCAGGCUGGGGAAAUAGUUGUAAUUCCAGCAGCCCAUAAAGAAAGAGGUGACUUGAUGCAUGCAAAUCAAGCAGAACAAUUCCCUUCUAUUUUGGGGAUAAGAGGCUGUUGUUCUACAGCUGGGUGCCGUAAUGUCUGACCCAUGGACGAAAGAGCAAAUGCUUUCCUUGCAGACCAUUGGUGCUAUUGAGCUGGGAUGUCCUGUCUACUAUCCACCCUUCCUUGGAGGCACAGGCUCCCAGCAGCAGCUUCUCUGUGUACAAAGCCAGGCUGGAUGCCUCCCUGCAGCCGUUCUGAGAAGGCUGCUCCCAAGCUGGAACCCAGAGGAGCAUCUUGUCUGCAGGAAGAUACAUGGCUCACGUUGGUAUGAGCAUGAGAUUGUGCAAGGGAGAGCGUGGCCACUGGCAUCCCAGCCCUGCUGCAUAGCCCUGGGUCAGCAUUCCUGGUAGGACAGGGCAGGGACAAAAGGGAUGGCAUGCAGUUCCCCACAAGAGUUACGAAAACAAGCCUUCUUCAGCAGUUAUUCACCCGACUUUCAUCCACAUCCAUCCAAGCUGACUGCCAAAUUUCCUGAAGCCAACAUUGUGCAUCCCAGCAGAGAUGAGAGUGGGGCCAGAACCCCGGCAUAUGAAGGAUGAGAACUCACAGUUAUACUGUGCUCGUAGCUACCUGCCAUAAAUCUGGCACAAAGCAGCUGUUGCCAGUGAUUCAUGAUGGGGAUAUAUCCAGCUCAAGGUAAGCUGCCCGCUUGGCACUGACUGCUGGCACCUUCAGCUCUUUCUGGGUAAGUUUUUGUUAUAUAUCUUGGAAAUUCGUGCUGCAAAAAUGAAUACUCCUGGCUCAAAACCCUUGUAGCCUCUUAUCAGACCAGAGGCUUGAUUAAAAAUAACUAAACAAAUUAAAACUGCCUUCCUCUUCAGAAGGAUGCCAGGUUCAGCUGUGCUGAGCUCCAGAACAAAGCCUUUGUGAGGGUUUAAGGAGUGCACACACAGCAGCCUCCUGCAGCAUCUGUAGGCACAGUCCCCAGCUGGCACAGCUGUCCCAAGGCAGAGGAUAUCAAGGGGGCCUCUGUUCUAAGGACAGAGAGCUCAGGGCUGUGGUCUUACUGCUGUGCUGUAGUCAUGCUUUGCUGUACCAGGGCUUACCCUGAGAUCUGCUGUGAUGUAGAGAAGUGGCUCCAGCUGACAGCAGAAUGUAGGUGUUCCUUCAUUCACAGUCCAGGGAGCUCUUUGAUGCAUAUACACUGUAUGAUAUUCUGCAAGAUGCUUUAUGAACCAUAUGGAGCUGUGUAAGGGGUCUUCCAGCAGAGUUAUUGGUCAGGUUCUGCACCUUGGGAAGUGAGUUCAGGCUGCAAGUCAGACCAGGAAAUGAGCAAUACAGCUUAUUCUGUGCUCCCACCUUGCAAAGAUCUCUAACAAUAGAAAAAGCCUUAAAAUGCAAAAUCUGUGUCCCUCCAAACAUUCAGGCUCUGGAACAGACUUGUUCGCUCAGUGCACAGAAGCAUUAAGCAGUAAUUUGAACUGUAAAUGGGACAUAUCAGACCAGUUUCACCUGAAGAACCGUGGAGGUGGUUUAGCUGAGACUGGUUUGCUGCAGCUGCCAGAAUGGGCUAAAUGGUAACAAGGGCUGGUAGAACAGCUCAGUUGUACAUUCAGAUGGAGCCAGCAAAGCUGAUAUAUUACACUGCUGGCCAACAGCACAGUGCUCUGCUGGAGUCCAGAGUUCAGUCUCUUACCAUCACAAAACAGCACAAUGGCCAAAGCCCCAACCAAUGGCUCUAACUGCUCAGAGCUCCAGCUUUGAUUCACCUCCAGCUUUCUCUGUCCCCAUCUGUUUGGUGGCUGGGCUGAGUACCAGCCUGUGCUACAACCCAAUUCACUUUUAUCU